rnacentral:rRNA from 1 species
UACCAGCACCCCGAGUGGUCGGGACGUUUAUUGGGCCUAAAGCAUCCGUAGCCGGUUCUACAAGUCUUCCGUUAAAUCCACCUGCUUAACAGAUGGGCUGCGGAAGAUACUAUAGAGCUAGGAGGCGGGAGAGGCAAGCGGUACUCGAUGGGUAGGGGUAAAAUCCGUUGAUCCAUUGAAGACCACCAGUGGCGAAGGCGGCUUGCCAGAACGCGCUCGACGGUGAGGGAUGAAAUCUGGGGGAGCAAACCGG